rnacentral:lncRNA from 1 species
AGCAAUGGUUUGGGUAAAUAUGAAGCAUAUUUUUGACCUGUAGCCUGCAUGGCUGGUUUCUGCGUAAUUCCUACCACCCACCAGAAUAUCUGAAUGCUGAAUAUGGAAAUAGAGCUUUGCAAUAUCUUGACAGUAGAUACUCGGAUAACUGCGUCUUAAAUAUAGUCAGGGAGUUUAGAAAAAUGGAUGGUGAUAUCUCUGACAGUGUGGUCUCUCUGUGUGGUGCUUUAAUUUUAUCUUGCGUUUGAUUCUUUAUUCCUUAUUCCUUGUCUGUUAGUUAUCAGAAAAGAAAUAUGACAGAAACUUAGGAAUUUUUCUGACAGUCUUCUAGGCUUCUAGGUUAAGGUUUCUUGACUGUAAAGCAUGCAAGCAGUACCUUCAUUGAUCAAUUUGUGCCAUAAAAACUUGUAAACAAACUACAAUGCUAUAUACAAGCCUUUAUUUACAGAAAAAAAAAAAAAAGAAGAAGAAUGAAAAAACAAAACAAAACAACAAACACCACAAAAACAAACAAACAAAAAACAACAACGAAGUCUUUUCAGUCUUCUCUCAGCCUAAGGAAGCUGUUUGGCCACACAGUUACUAUGUGCACUGUGAAAGGAUAAAUGGAUAUUUGGAUAAUGCGGCAAAACAUUUUGGAGUCCAUCAGUUACUCUUUCUGAAGAGGUAAGGAAAAUUUCCUUUCAGUAUUAAUUCUGAGAUACACAUAACAUCUAUCAGGUAGAUCCUAACAAGUUAGAAUAACUAGUGAACUUAG